rnacentral:misc_RNA from 1 species
GAUGAAGAACGCAGCGAAAUGCGAUAAGUAAUGUGAAUUGCAGAAUUCAGUGAAUCAUCGAAUCUUUGAACGCACAUUGCGCCCGCCAGUAUUCUGGCGGGCAUGCCUGUUCGAGCGUCAUUUCAACCAUCAAGCCCCCCGGCUUGUGUUGGGGACCUGCGGCUGCCGCAGGCCCUGAAAAGCAGUGGCGGGCUCGCUGUCACACCGAGCGUAGUAGCAUACAUCUCGCUCUGGGCGUGCUGCGGGUUCCGGCCGUUAAACCACCUUCAUAACCCAAGGUUGACCUCGGAUCAGGUAGGAAGACCCGCUGAACUUAAGCAUAUCAUAAGCGGAGGA